rnacentral:rRNA from 1 species
UACGGAGGGUGCAAGCGUUAGUCCGGAUUCACUGGGUUUAAAGGGUGCGUAGGUGGACAGGUAAGUCAGUGGUGAAAUCCCCGAGCUUAACUCGGGAACUGCCGUUGAUACUAUCUGUCGUUGAAUAUCGCGGAGGUAAGCGGAAUAUGUCAUGUAGCGGUGAAAUGCUUAGAUAUGACAUAGAACACCGAUUGCGAAGGCAGCUUACUACACGAUCAUUGACACUGAGGCACGAAAGCGUGGGAGCAAACAGG